AUUGUUUUUUCUUUUUUUUUUAAUUUUUGUUCUUUUUCUUUUUUGUUCUUUUUUAAAUUUUUGUUCUUUUUUCUUCUUUUUUUUCUUCUUUUUUUGUUCUUUUCCCUUUGUUCGUUUUUUUUUUCUUUUUUGUUCUUUGUUUUGUUUGUUGACGUCUUCAACUGUCCAAAACCCAAAGAUGUUUAUUUUAACAGCAGAGAACACUCAGGUACAUCACAGGUGUCUCAGGUGUGUCUCAGGUGUGUCUCAGGCGUGUCUCAGGUGUAUCUCAGGUGUGUUACAGGUGUGUCUCAGGUGUGUCUCAGGCGUAUCUCAGGCGUGUCUCAGGUGUAUCUCAGGCGUGUCUCAGGUGUGUCUCAGAUGUGUUACAGGUGUGUUACAGGCGUGUCUCAGGUGUAUCUCAGGUGUAUCUCAGGUGUGUUACAGAUGUGUCUCAGGUGUGUUACAGGUGUGUCUCGGGUGUGUUACAGACGUGCCUCAGGUGUGUUACAGGCGUGUCUCAGGUGUAUCUCAGGUGUAUCUCAGGUGUGUUACAGGCGUGUCUCAGGUGUAUCUCAGGUGUGUCUCAGGUGUGUUACAGGCGUGUCUCAGGUGUAUCUCAGGUGUGUUACAGGAGUGUCUCAGGUGUAUCUCAGGUGUGUUACAGGUGUGGCUCAGGUGUAUCUCAGGUGUAUCUCAGGUGUGUUACAGGCGUGUCUGAGGUGUGUUAUAGGCGUGUCUCAGGUGUAUCUCGGGUGUAUCUCAGGUGUGUUACAGGUGUGUUACAGGUGUGUCUCAGGUGUAUCUCGGGUGUAUCUCAGGUGUGUUACAGGUGUGUCUCAGGUGUGGCUCAGGUGUAUCUCAGGUGUGUUACAGGUGUGUUACAGAUGUAUCUCAGGUGUGGCUCAGGUGUAUCUCAGGUGUGUUACAGGUGUGGCUCAGGUGUGUCUCAGAUAUAUCUCAGGUGUGUUACAGGUG